CCUACGGGAGGCAGCAGUGAGGAAUAUUGGUCAAUGGACGAGAGUCUGAACCAGCCAAGUAGCGUGAAGGAUGACUGCCCUAUGGGUUGUAAACUUCUUUUAUAUGGGAAUAAAACGUUCCACGUGUGGCUUUUUGUAUGUACCAUAUGAAUAAGGAUCGUCUAACUCCGUUCCAGCAGCCGCGGUAAUACGGAGGAUCCGAGCGUUAUCCGGAUUUAUUGGGGUUAAAGGGAGCGUAGGUGGAUUGGUAAGUCAGUUGUGAAAGUUUGCGGCUCAACCGUAAAAUUGCAGUUGAGACUGGCAGUCGUGAGUACAGUAGAGGUAGGCGGAAUUCGUGGUGUAGCGGUGAAAUGCUUAGAUAUCACGAAGAACUCCGAUUGCGAAGGCAGUCCACUGGACUGCAACUGACACUGAGGCUCGAAAGUGUGGGUAUCAAACAGGAUUAGAUACCCGAGUAGUC
rnacentral:rRNA from 1 species